GCUUGUGGCCAUACCACCCUAAACACGCCCAAGCUCGUCUGAUCUCGGAAGCUAAGCAGGAUCGGGCCUUGUAAGUACUUGGAUGGGAGACAGCCUGGGAGUACCAGGUGCUGUAAGCU
rnacentral:rRNA from 1 species